UGAGGCAACAUGGGCGGUAACCAUGUACUUCCCUCUCCUCCAAUCAAAUGACAGAGUGUUAGAACAGAAGCAGCGUGGGAUUUACCUUGAACUUGGAACCCGAGGUUGAGAAGAUAAUUCCACCUGAAGGCCACCAUGCUGCGAGGAGGCCCAAGUGAUCUUUGGAGAGGCCCUCAUAGAGAAGACACAGCGCCAGGACCAACUGGCCAACCGUGGGUGUGAGCCAUCUUGAAAACGGAUCCCCGCGUUCCAGCUGAGCUGUCCCAGCUGACACGGAGUGGCGCAGAGAGACGUUUCCAAACUUCACUGGAUUCGAAACAUUCUCUCCAGCAUCCAUCGAUGAGAUAAAAACAGGCUGUGAUGUGCGGGCCAGAAAGGAGCCAAGCAGAAUGCAGUCUGUAACCUCUGGGAAGUAGGUCGGCAGGAAAAUGAGCCGAUCUGCUCUGAAACUCCCCAUCAGCAGAGUCACCUCGUAAAAUGCAGGCACAUAGGGUGUUGUCUUAAAACCUGUGGUCAGGCCUGCGAGGCCUGAUUUGGUCCUUAUGGGUCCUAACUGCCCAAAGCAACCGAGGCCGAAAAGGCUUUGGGGAAUCUUUAAGCUGGGCCGGGGAGGGGGGAGGGGGAGACUCCCCCUCCAAAAUCUGCCUCGCCAACUGCCUUACUUCAAACUGCGGGCUGAUUUCCAUUAAUCACACUUGGCCCUAAUUACCCUGGAGCAGCCUUUCUUCCUGGGGCCGGGGCAGGAAUUUUAAGGGGCUCCCGAUAAUGCGCGUCCCUGAGACCAAACAAUAGCGGAGGCUCCAGGAAGAGACUGGGUGAGGAAGCACCCGUGCCCGCUCCCUUCUUUCCUGGAGAUCCAGGUUCCCGGCCGGCUUGUGAUCUCCCCAGGUAGGAAACCGAGUUCCUCCACUAAAUAGAUUUUCCUUUUGUUGUCACAUUAAUUUGCAACUCAUUAAUAGUGACAGAAGUGAGGUACUGCACCGAUGCCAUUUGCAUAUUCAUGAUGACUUAUUAUUAAACAAAUAAGAUUUUCCUAUCUUCGCGAGCACCCAAAGUAAGGCUGAACAGUACAUUACACCGGCCCCGAUGCUUUAUUCUCUCUUUAAUAUGUUAAUAGAUGCAGUUGAUUUCUUUAAGUAAAUACGCAUCUAUAAAACAACACGUACUUUAUAAAAAAGAAAUCAUUUAAAUAAUAAUCCAUUAGCAAAGUUGGCAACAAUUUAAGAGGAACAACCCAUUAAUACC